AAGCCAUGGUGGGGCAAUCCUUCACGUACUCCUUGAAUCGUUCCCAAGCUUCAUUAAAGGUCUCAGUAGCCUUUUGCUUGAAGGCAGCAAUCUGAUUCCUCAUACGU